UAGAUAUUGGCCUGGGAACUCCUUUUAGAGGCUCAGCUAUAGAAGGUGGUACUACUCUGUCUUUUAUCUUUCAGAAGAAUAAGUGAUGUCAGCAUGAGGUUCACACUGAGACAGUGGACACUUUCCACCUUCAGGCAGAGGUGGUGUGUAAAGCACUCUUAAUUGAAUUGCGAUGGACCAAUGUCAAAUUUCAGCCUUUAUUCGUAGGUGGAGUGGGAAGAAAAAGAAAAGACAUAUUCAGUAUCUGCAUCCCUUUACCUCGCUGAAUUCCUGCAAUGGCCCACAAAGGUACAUGAAGAGGGGAAAAAACCCAACUUUGGCUUCUCCAGGUGGGUUCAAUUUGGAUAAUAUAUUUGCACAGAAGUGUAGACGGGAGCCUCCUCUGGGAGGCUGGCCAUUUUCACUGUGGAUUCCCAGGUAAUCCCCCCAGAGCAGGAUCUGGAUCAGUUGUCCUACUAAGUAUAAGGCACAUUGCCAAGGCAUGGCCUGGUCCCUUAGGCUGAGAGACAGAGAGUAGGGCCAGUUCAUGGCAGAAAGGGUCUGGCAUAUGUCCUGCCUUUUUUUGCUCUGUGGCCUUGGGCAGGUCUCUUUGCCUCUGUAGGCCUCACUGCCCUCACUUCUAGAGUAGGAGUGAUCAUUUUGCCUCUUGGCUGGUUGCAAGGCCCAGAAGCAGGUUGAGAAUGGUAGCGUGCUAUGCGAAUGUGAAGUGUCAGUUGCAGACUAUCUUGCUGGCCUCUUGAGAAGACUUGACAUAAGCAGGUGAGAAGUGCAGUGGGAAAAGUGAGAGCCCUCUGAUGCUCAAGGAGAACAGUGCUCCAGGGGCCCCUAGGGAGAAUAGUUAAGCAGCAGGAUGGAGAGAUUGAGAGGAGGUUGGAGGGCUGGGUGAGGCCUGAGGACUGAAGCCUCCGGGGGGCCAGAGGAAGGCAGCUGAGACUUUCAGGGACACAAAGGACUUUCUCCAUUUCUCCACCACACAGGGACCUGUCUCCCUGGGGCUGCUUUGCUUGAUUUGGUGUGCUGUUAACCUUUGCUCAGCCCCAGGCUGUGUUUAACUUGGGGCCAUGGGCAGGGGGAGAAGGUCACAACAAAUUUAGUGGGAGGCAUUUUAAGUACCUAAAGCAAUAAAUCCUCAUGUACCUCGAGCCUGCCCAGGCUUCCCCAAACCUGGGAAUUCAAUUUUGUGCAGCGCACACAGUUUGCCAAGCACGCUAAGUCAUCAGGAGAACAACUUGAUGUAUUGCUGUGGGGAAAAAAAUUGCCGUGUCCCUUUCUUCAUUCAAAUUAACACCUUUUCAUACUGGGCUGACAGGUGACUGAUCACCUGAGAAUACAUCCUGGCUUCAAGUGAUUUGAUAACUCUUCCUUCUCUGUUUCCCUGUCUUUAUUUUCAUGCCUUAAAAAGUCAGGAGAAAACAUUAUUAUUAUUAUUGCUAGAGAAUCACUACCUGAUUCAUAAGCCCUAAGCCCUGGGGCCUGGCAUAUGGUAGGCAUGAAUAAAUGAUGAACGAAUAAAUGACUAGAUUUGGUUGAUGUCUGCAGAUUGCCCUUUUUCCUUCCCAGAGGAUCAGAGGAAGCUUUUGCUUUGUUUUGUUUUUUUGACAUUUUUUUUUUUCUUUGCAUGGUGGACACUGUGUGAGGUCAAUGUGUGCACUGCUCAGAUGCCCGUCUGAGGAGGUAGAGGACUUGGCCCAGCUGCUGGGAGUGCUGGUGGCCCCUGGAGUGACUGAGUUGUAGAGAGUCGUCUUGCCCAAGGUGAGGCCUUCCUGGGGUGACCCAAAUUCAGCAAUUGAUCCACAUGGGGUUA
rnacentral:lncRNA from 1 species